AUUGAACGCUGGCGGCAUGCCUUACACAUGCAAGUCGAACGGCAGCGGGGGAGAAGCUUGCUUUUCCUGCCGGCGAGUGGCGAACGGGUGAGUAAUACAUCGGAACGUGCCCUGUAGUGGGGGAUAACUAGUCGAAAGAUUAGCUAAUACCGCAUACGACCUGAGGGUGAAAGUGGGGGACCGCAAGGCCUCAUGCUAUAGGAGCGGCCGAUGUCUGAUUAGCUAGUUGGUGGGGUAAAGGCCUACCAAGGCGACGAUCAGUAGCUGGUCUGAGAGGACGAUCAGCCAAACUGGGACUGAGACACGGCCCAGACUCCUACGGGAGGCAGCAGUGGGGAAUUUUGGACAAUGGGCGAAAGCCUGAUCCAGCAAUGCCGCGUGUGUGAAGAAGGCCUUCGGGUUGUAAAGCACUUUGUCCGGAAAGAAAUGGCUCUGGUUAAUACCUGGGGUCGAUGACGGUACCGGAAGAAUAAGGACCGGCUAACUACGUGCCAGCAGCCGCAGUAAAAC
rnacentral:rRNA from 1 species